UACGUAGGGGGCUAGCGUUGUCCGGAAUCAUUGGGCGUAAAGCGCGUGUAGGCGGCCCGGUAAGUCCGCUGUGAAAGUCGGGGGCUCAACCCUCGGAUGCCGGUGGAUACUGUCGGGCUAGAGUACGGAAGAGGCGAGUGGAAUUCCUGGUGUAGCGGUGAAAUGCGCAGAUAUCAGGAGGAACACCAAUGGCGAAGGCAGCUCGCUGGGACGUGACUGACGCUGAGACGCGAAAGCGUGGGGAGCAAACAGG
rnacentral:rRNA from 1 species